AUUGAACGCUGGCGGCAGGCCUAACACAUGCAAGUCGAACGAGUGGCGGACGGGUGAGUAAUGUCUGGGAAACUGCCUGAUGGAGGGGGAUAACUACUGGAAACGGUAGCUAAUACCGCAUACCAUCGGAUGUGCCCAGAUGGGAGUAGCUAGUAGGUGGGGUAACGGCUCACCUAGGCGACGAUCCCUAGCUGGUCUGAGAGGAUGACCAGCAACACUGGAACGAGGACACGAUCAAGAAUCCUACGGAAGGCAGAGGAGGGGAAAAGUGCACAGUGGGCGCAAGCGUGAUGCAGCCAUGCGGCGUGGAUGAAGAAGGCCUUGGGGGUGUAAAGUACGUUCAGCGGGGAGGCGUUACCCGCAGAAGAAGCACCGGCUAACUCCGUGCCAGCAGCCGCGGUAAUAC
rnacentral:rRNA from 1 species